rnacentral:lncRNA from 1 species
CCACAGCUUGGACUUCAUCCUAUCCAUGAUGCCAUAGGGGAGGUGCUGCCGGAUUGAAGACCAUUUCAUGAGGAUUUCACUCAUUCAAGUGUUAUAAAGGUUAGAAACUUCAUCCUCCGUUGAUACAUGGUUAGUAUACUAAGUUUUAUGAUUUAGAGCUAGAGUAAUUUGUGAUUUUUAGAAUAAGGUACAAUGGAGAAAUCUUUCAUUUACAUGCAUGUGUUAUUUAGAGCUCAUAUUUGUGAUUUUUGAAUAAGAUACAAUUUUUUGGAUGCUAUGUUUCGUAUUAGUCAAAGAAAUUGAUAUGAGGUUAGAGGAAUAAUUUUAUAGUUUAGUACUUUUCAAAUAUGAGCUAAAUAAAUUAUGGCAAAUGUGAGCAAGAUAAAUUGUGGUACAUAGAGAUAAUAAGAUGAAGUAGAGGUACGUAAUUAGUCAUUUUAGAAUAAGCUAGAGAAAAUUUCAUUUAUAUGUUAUAUUUGAGCUAAGUAAAUUAUGGGGAAAAUAUCUAAUUUGUUUAUAGUUUAGUUAUUUGCAAAGAUGUCAUGAAGAUGUUGUGGUAGGUCAAGAACCUCCUUUUGGUGGUCGUUAUGCUCCACCACCAGUCCUUGGUGUUUCAGGUCUACUUAGUACUACCGUUGCAGGAAGCACAAAUAAACCACAGGAUGAGGCUGGGUCAGCGAAACCUUCGUCUUCGCCGCACAAGGAUGCUUAAAGUUCUCCUAGAUAGUACUUAGUGGAUGAUUUGUCGUACUGCAUCAUGUUGUUUGGGUUUGAAAUUUAAAUUUGUGUAUUUCUAUCAAAACUUUCAGCAAUAUUUGAGUUUAGUGUAUCAUGUUGCUUGGGUCUGAAAUUUCAGUUCGUGUAUUUCUAUCUAAAUUUUCAACAACAU